ACUCCUACGGGAGGCAGCAGUGGGGAAUAUUGCACAAUGGGCGCAAGCCUGAUGCAGCCAUGCCGCGUGUAUGAAGAAGGCCUUCGGGUUGUAAAGUACUUUCAGCAGUGAGGAAGGCGGGUACGUUAAUAGCGUGCUUGUUUGACGUUAGCUGCAGAAGAAGCACCGGCUAACUCCGUGCCAGCAGCCGCGGUAAUACGGAGGGUGCGAGCGUUAAUCGGAAUUACUGGGCGUAAAGCGCAUGCAGGUGGUUUGUUAAGUCAGAUGUGAAAGCCCGGGGCUCAACCUCGGAAUUGCAUUUGAAACUGGCAGACUAGAGUACUGUAGAGGGGGGUAGAAUUUCAGGUGUAGCGGUGAAAUGCGUAGAGAUCUGAAGGAAUACCGGUGGCGAAGGCGGCCCCCUGGACAGAUACUGACACUCAGAUGCGAAAGCU
rnacentral:rRNA from 1 species